AUACGGAGGGUGCAAGCGUUGUUCGGAAUUACUGGGCGUAAAGGGCGUGUAGGCGGAUCGAGUAGUCGGGUGUGAAAGCCCUGGGCUCAACCCAGGAAGUGCGCCCGAAACCAUCGGUCUGGAGUUUCGGAGGGGAGCGGGGAAUUCCCAGUGUAGAGGUGAAAUUCGUAGAUAUUGGGUGGAACACCGGUGCCGAAGGGGCCGCUCUGGACGAAUACUGACGCUGAGACGCGAAAGCGUGGGUAGCAAACAGGAUUAGAAACCCCUGUAGUCC
rnacentral:rRNA from 1 species